AGUGAACGCUGGCGGUAGGCCUAACACAUGCAAGUCGAACGGCAGCACAGUAAGAGCUUGCUCUUACGGGUGGCGAGUGGCGGACGGGUGAGGAAUACAUCGGAAUCUACUUUUUCGUGGGGGAUAACGUAGGGAAACUUACGCUAAUACCGCAUACGACCUACGGGUGAAAGCAGGGGAUCUUCGGACCUUGCGCGAUUGAAUGAGCCGAUGUCGGAUUAGCUAGUUGGCGGGGUAAAGGCCCACCAAGGCGACGAUCCGUAGCUGGUCUGAGAGGAUGAUCAGCCACACUGGAACUGAGACACGGUCCAGACUCCUACGGGAGGCAGCAGUGGGGAAUAUUGGACAAUGGGCGCAAGCCUGAUCCAGCCAUGCCGCGUGAGUGAAGAAGGCCUUCGGGUUGUAAAGCCCUUUUGUUGGGAAAGAAAAGCAGCAGGUUAAUACCCCGCUGUUCCGACGGUACCCAAAGAAUAAGCACCGGCUAACUUCGUG
rnacentral:rRNA from 1 species